UUAUCUGUUGGGCAAAUGAUUCAUGACUGUGUUUGGACGCCGAUGUCAUGUUGAUGCAGUGGCGUAACCGACUAACAAUGAU
rnacentral:ncRNA from 22 species